rnacentral:rRNA from 1 species
AUUGAACGCUGGCGGCAGGCCUAACACAUGCAAGUCGAACGAGUGGCGGACGGGUGAGUAAUGUCUGGGAAACUGCCUGAUGGAAGGGGAUAACUACUGGAAACGGUAGCUAAUACCGCAUACCAUCGGAUGUGCCCAGAUGGGAUUAGCUAGUAGGUGGGGUAACGGCUCACCUAGGCGACGAACCCUAGCUGGUCUGAGAGGAUGACCAGCCACACUGGAACUGAGACAGCGUGCAGCCUCCCAGGGGAGGCAGUCGGGGGGAAUAUUGCACAAUGGGCGAAAGCCGUAUGCAGCCAUGCCGCGGGGAUGAAGAAGGCCUUCGGGUUUUAAAGUACUUUCAGCUGGGAGGCGUUACCCGCAGAAGAAGCACCGGCUAACUCCGUGCCAGCAGCCGCGGUAAUAC